AGAACACGGUUUCUAGGCAACAGCCCAGCAGCAUGGUGAUUGUGUUUGAGGUGGUCACCUCUGGGCGGCGAGGUCUGAUUGCUGUCAAGAAUGUGGUUGUCCUAGGACAUCAAUGCAGCUGGUGCAAGGCUGUUAGUCACUUUAACAAACCCAUCCUCAUUAGAGUUGUGGCUGCAGAAGCCAACAUUAAGCUCAGUCCCCUGAUGACAGACAUGAAGGAAGAGCUCCAAUGAACAAAUGGCCCAUCUGCCUUCCACAGUCUCCAGCAGCUGGGG